rnacentral:rRNA from 1 species
UAUCUCUGUAGAGUCUGCAUAUCAAUAAGCGGAGGAAAAGAAACUAACAAGGAUUCCCUUAGUAACGGCGAGUGAAGCGGGAAGAGCUCAAAUUUGAAAUCUUCAAGGUUCUACCUUGACGAAUUGUAGUUUAAAGAAGUGUUUUCUGUUAGAUGAGUAGCAAAAGUUCCUUGGAAUGGGACAUCAUAGAGGGUGAGAAUCCCGUAUUUGGUUAUUCAUUCUAGCUUUGUGAUACACUUUCAAAGAGUCGGAUUGUUUGGGAAUGCAGUCCAAAAUGGGUGGUAAGUUUCAUCUAAAGCUAAAUAUUGGCGAGAGACCGAUAGCGAACGAGUACCGUGAGGGAAAGAUGAAAAGAACUUUGAAAAGGAGAGUUAAACAGUACGUGAAAUUGUCAAAAGGGAAGCGUUUGACACCAGUGUUGUUUUUCCGAAAAUCAAUUACGAAUGGCUUGAUUUUGUGUUGUAUUGACCUUAUCAGCUUUCUGCACUUUUUUCGAGUCUUUCUUAAUGCGCUUUUCGGUUAACAAGUCAACAUCAAUUUCUUUUGUUGUAAAAGAGUAUUCGGAAGGUGGCUUUCUUUUCGGAGAAAGUGUUUAUAGCCCUAUACUUCUACAAUCGGAGAGAUUGAGGUCUGCAGCGUAGAUCCUUCGGGGUUAGAUACACUUGUGCUAAGUUGUAGCUUUUCAUAGACAACUUGUUGACUAUGUUUAGUCAUGCGGCUUACUCGCUUGUGCUAUUUUACCUACGCUUAGGAUGUUGACGAGACUGUCGAUCUC